UACGUAGGGGGCAAGCGUUGUCCGGAUUUAUUGGGCGUAAAGAGCGUGUAGGCGGUUUGGUAGGUCCGCUGUGAAAACUCGAGGCUCAACUUCGAGACGCCGGUGGAAACCAUCAGACUAGAGUCCGGAAGAGGAGAGUGGAAUUCCUGGUGUAGUGGUGAAAUGCGUAGAUAUCGGGAGGAACACCAGUGGCGAAGGCGACUACCUGGCCUGUUCUUGACGCUGAGGCGCGAAAGCUAGGGGAGCAAACGGG
rnacentral:rRNA from 1 species